rnacentral:tRNA from 1 species
GCCGGCAUAGCUCAGUGGUAGAGCAACGGUUUUGUAAACCGUCGGUCGUCGGUUCGAAUCCGACUGUCGGCU